GUGCUCACUUCAGCAGCAGCACCUAUACUAAAAAUGGAAUGAUAUAGAGAUUAGCAUGGCCCCUGCACAAGGAUGACAAUUACAGUUGGAGACUUCAACAUCCCUCUA